rnacentral:tRNA from 1 species
GACUGUGGACUUAAGUGGUAGAACAUCUACUUAGUGAGUAUAAGGCCCUAAGUUCAACCCUUAGUACUGUCA